rnacentral:rRNA from 1 species
UGCCAGCCGCCGCGGUAAGACAUAUGGGGCGAGCGUUACUCGGAAUUACUAGGCGUAAAGCGCGUGUAGGUGGAAACGUAAGUCUGCUGUGAAAUCUCCCGGCUCAACCGGGAGGGGUCGGUGGAAACUACGUAUCUAGAGUAGGGUAGGGGACAAUGGAAUUCCAGGUGUAGCGGUGAAAUGCGUAGAUAUCUGGAGGAACACCGGUGGCGAAAGCGAUUGUCUGGGCCUUUACUGACACUGAGACGCGAAAGCUAGGGCAGCAAACGGGAUUAGAUA